ACGGAGGGUGCGAGCGUUGUCCGGAAUCAUUGGGCGUAAAGGGCGCGUAGGCGGCCACUUCAAGCGUGCGGUGAAAGUCGGGGGCUCAACCCCUGAUCGGCCGUGCGAACUGGGGGGCUGGAGCACUGUAGAGGCAGGCGGAAUUCCAGGUGUAGCGGUGAAAUGCGUAGAUAUCUGGAGGAACACCGGUGGCGAAGGCGGCAUCCUGGACCGGCAUUGACGCUGAGGCGCGAAAGCCAGGGGAGCAAACGGGA
rnacentral:rRNA from 1 species